AAUGAACGUUGGCGGCGUGGAUUAGGCAUGCAAGUCGCGCGAGAAGUUUCCUUCGGGAGACGGACAGCGGCGGAAGGGAGAGGAAUAAGUAGAAAUCUGCCCUCGGGACGGGGAUAGCGGCGGGAAACUGCCGGUAAUACCCGAUAACAUCUUUGGAUCAAAUGGUGUGAUUCCGCCUGAGGAUGAGUCUACUUCCUAUUAGCUAGUUGGUGUGGUAAUGGCUCACCAAGGCAACGAUGGGUAGCGGGUGUGAGAGCACGAUCCGCCUCACUGGGACUGAGACACUGCCCAGACACCUACGGGUGGCUGCAGUCGAGAAUCUUCGGCAAUGGGGGAAACCCUGACCGAGCGACGCCGCGUGCGGGAUGAAGGCCCUCGGGUUGUAAACCGCUGUCGUAAGGGAACAAAUCUAAGAGGGUACUCCCUUUUAGUUGAGUGAUCUUAGGAGGAAGGACGGGCUAAGUUCGUGCCAGCAGCCGCGGUAAUGUCGUACGA
rnacentral:rRNA from 1 species